AACCGCCGUAUACGGAACCGUUCGUACGGUGGUGUGGGAGGUCGGCGGGGGAGACCCCGCCUCCUACCCGAU
rnacentral:autocatalytically_spliced_intron from 1 species